UACGUAGGGAGCAAGCGUUGUCCGGAUUCACUGGGUGUAAAGGGUGCGUAGGCGGGACAAUAAGUCAGUGGUGAAAUCUUACGGCUCAACCGUGAAACUGCCAUUGAUACUGUUGUUCUUGAGUUCGGGAGAGGUUGAUGGAAUUCCAGGUGUAGCGGUGAAAUGCGUAGAUAUCUGGAAGAACACCAGUGGCGAAGGCGGUCAACUGGCCCGAAACUGACGCUGAGGCACGAAAGCGUGGGGAGCGAACAGGAUUAGAAACCCCAGUAGUCC
rnacentral:rRNA from 1 species